rfam:Ovis aries breed Texel chromosome 4, whole genome shotgun sequence.
UUUUUAGUAUAAGUAUGUUUUAUGCAAUAUUUGGGACAUACUUAUAUUAGAA